UACGUAGGGCGCAAGCGUUAUCCGGAAUUAUUGGGCGUAAAGAGCUCGUAGGCGGCUUGUCGCGUCGACUGUGAAAUCCCGCGGCUCAACUGCGGGUCUGCAGUCGAUACGGGCAGGCUAGAGUUCGGUAGGGGAGACUGGAAUUCCUGGUGUAGCGGUGAAAUGUGCAGAUAUCAGGAGGAACACCGGUGGCGAAGGCGGCACUCGUGGGCCGGUACUGACGCUGAGGAGCGAAAGCGUGGGGAGCAAACAGG
rnacentral:rRNA from 1 species